UCACGCAGUCGCAGUCGUGGUAGGAGAUCAAGGUCAGCUUCCUACCGCAGGUCCAGGUCAAUAUCUCCUCGUAGAUACAGAUCAUUUUCACCCCGCAGAUCUCGAUCUGGUUCCUUAAGGAGAUCAAGGUCUAGGUCCAGAUCACGCUCAAGGUCCCGGUCUGCUGUAUGGCCUCGAAGCAGUCGCUCAAAGUCCAGAUCACCAUCUCCAAAGAGAAGUCACUCACCAUCAGGAAGCCCUUGAAGGAGUGCAAGCCCUGAAAGAAUGGGUUCAAAUUCAAACAGUUUAAAAAGAAAAUCUAUUUUGUUUACAUUGUUAUAAGGGAUUUUGUGGUGUCUUUAUAAAUGUAAGGGCUUAGUCCUAGAAGGCUGUUUCUAUUGACUAACAAUUGGCAUGAACCUGGAUCUUCUAAAAGUCUUAUUAGUAGACUAACCCAAAACCCUUUUGUUGUGUUAAUGUUCUGUGAUCUGGAAAUGUUGGGCUUUUUUUAUUGGUGCGUUGAAAUAAACUACAUUUCUAA